AUUGAACGCUGGCGGCAUGCUUUACACAUGCAAGUCGAACGGCAGCGCGGGGCAACCUGGCGGCGAGUGGCGAACGGGUGAGUAAUAUAUCGGAACGUACCCAAGAGUGGGGGAUAACGUAGCGAAAGUUACGCUAAUACCGCAUACGAUCUAAGGAUGAAAGCAGGGGACCGCAAGGCCUUGUGCUCCUGGAGCGGCCGAUAUCUGAUUAGCUAGUUGGUGAGGUAAAGGCUCACCAAGGCGACGAUCAGUAGCUGGUCUGAGAGGACGACCAGCCACACUGGAACUGAGACACGGUCCAGACUCCUACGGGAGGCAGCAGUGGGGAAUUUUGGACAAUGGGGGCAACCCUGAUCCAGCAAUGCCGCGUGAGUGAAGAAGGCCUUCGGGUUGUAAAGCUCUUUUGUCAGGGAAGAAACGGCUGUGGCUAAUAUCCACGGCUAAUGACGGUACCUGAAGAAUAAGCACCGGCUAACUACGUGCCAGCCGCCGCGGUAAAAC
rnacentral:rRNA from 1 species